GAUGAAGAACGUAGCGAAAUGCGAUAAGUAAUGUGAAUUGCAGAAUUCCGUGAAUCAUCGAGUCUUUGAACGCACAUUGCGCCCCCUGGUAUUCCGGGGGGCAUGCCUGUCCGAGCGUCAUUGCUGCCCUCAAGCACGGCUUGUGUGUUGGGCUUCCGUCCCUGGCAACGGGGACGGGCCCAAAAGGCAGUGGCGGCACCAUGUCUGGUCCUCGAGCGUAUGGGGCUUUGUCACCCGCUCCCGUAGGUCCAGCUGGCAGCUAGCCUCGCAACCAAUCUUUUUAACCAGGUUGACCUCGGAUCAGGUAGGGAUACCCGCUGAACUUAAGCAUAUCAAUAAGCGGAGGA
rnacentral:misc_RNA from 1 species